rnacentral:rRNA from 1 species
CUACGGGGGGCAGCAGUGGGGAAUAUUGCGCAAUGGGCGAAAGCCUGACGCAGCAACGCCGUGUGGGGGAUGAAGGUCUUCGGAUUGUAAACCUCUGUCAGGAGGGAAGAAGUGGUAAUAUUCUAAUAGGGUAUUACUUUGACGGUACCUCCAGAGGAAGCACCGGCUAACUCCGUGCCAGCAGCCGCGGUAAUACGGAGGGUGCAAGCGUUAUUCGGAAUAACUGGGCGUAAAGCGUGCGUAGGCUGUUUGGUAAGUCAGGUGUGAAAGCCCACGGCUCAACCGUGGAAUUGCAUUUGAAACGGCUGGACUAGAAUCCGGGAGAGGGUAGCGGAAUUCCUGGUGUAGGAGUGAAAUCCGUAGAUAUCAGGAGGAACACCGGUGGCGAAGGCGGCUACCUGGUCCGGUAUUGACGCUGAGGUACGAAAGCGUGGGUAGCAAACAGGAUUAGAUACCCGAGUAGUC